rnacentral:rRNA from 1 species
GACGAACGCUGGCGGCGUGCUUAACACAUGCAAGUCGAACGGAAAGGCCCUGCUUUUGUGGGGUGCUCGAUUGGCGAACGGGUGAGUAACACGUGAGUAACCUGCCCUUGACUUUGGGAUAACUUCAGGAAACUGGGGCUAAUACCGGAUAGGAGCUCCUGCUGCAUGGUGGGGGUUGGAAAGUUUCGGCUGUUGGGGAUGGACUCGCGGCUUAUCAGCUUGUUGGUGGGGUAGUUGCUUACCAAGGCUUUGACGGGUAGCCGGCCUGAGAGGGUGACCGGCCACAUUGGGACUGCGAUACGCCCCAGAAUCCUACGGGAGGCAGCAGUGGGGAAUCUUGCACAAUGGGCGGAAGCCUGAUGCAGAAACGCCGCGUGCGGGAUGACGGCCUUCGGGUUGUAAACCGCUUUCGCCUGUGACGAAGCGUGAGUGACGGUAAUGGGUAAAGAAGCACCGGCUAACUACGUG